UUUAAAACUGUGUAGCAGCGUCUCACUCUCUAUUGCUUCUGCUUUCGCCAUGUGACAUGCCUGCUCCCCUUCACCUUCUGCCAUGAUUUAAGCUUCUGGAGGCCUCCCCAGAAGGAGAUGCCACUAUGCUUCCUGUAUAACCUGCAGAACGCUGUGAAGCUUUUCUGGAUAAGGGUCAAGGAUAUCCUCAUGACUAAAUGCAAUCCCUGACUCUCAACCCUUCUGACACUCGCUGUCCAGGUGAACCCAUAGCCAAAGCCAAGGACAUAUCAACAAUUUCGACUUGGUCUCUGGUCUCACUGGUCAACAGGCAAGAGCUACAAUAGAAUAUGUACUUGGACUCAGGCUCAGAAAUUACCAAACUGUCAUAACUGACCCAAAGAUGCUUCCCCUGGCACAGGAAUAAGGUAGGGAAUGGUAAAUAAGAGGAAGAGAGAAAGAAGAUCUAGAAGAUGGAAGUCAAAAUGUCACAGCAGGCAGUGUAAAGGGCAGAAACAACCAUUCUAG
rnacentral:lncRNA from 10 species